AUUUUUCGAGCAAGUUAACUUUCAUACGGUCAUUGUUGAGGGAUUUUUGCAAUGGCAUCGAGCGCUGAGAGCACUGUAUUACCCGAUUGCAUCAACUAAUCCGCCAACCUAUUUGCUGAGGAAUAUACAGAGCAAGACACUGGAGAACGCAUUCGCGUCUGACUCGGUCGUCUGUGAAAUUGAUAAGCCACAAGAGAUCGACCAUUUCUUACGAAGCCACAAACACGCAUAAAACGUUUUGGAACACAGAAGAGCAGGAAAAGCAGGAGCCAUAUGCACCGUUCUCAGGAUUGUGGGCAAUGUGAUAGGGUGCAUAGGUUGUCCCUUGAGGCCAAACUGACAUGAUUGGAGCUCCCAAUAAAACCAGAAUGAAAAGUCUUCAAAAUGGGAGAAACUCUUGGGAGCAAAAUCGGCCCUGGAGACUGGAAUAAUCCAAGGGUUUUUUCAUCAGCAGAAGCAAACAGCGAGCCAGAAGGAGAAGAGGGGAGAUGAAAGAACAUCAAUGCAGAGAAAAUGUGCAAAGCCACAGAGAAGCACUGCCCGGCAUAAUGACUCAGCUACCGCGCAGGGACCAACAACUUUCUAAAGCAUCUCAGAAACAUUAGGCAGAGAGACGGGAUGCUCCUUGCCCAGUACUCUAGCUGUGGGCGCUGCCUGAUGCAAUUAAAACAAGCCCACAGAGCCUGUGCGCAGAUGCAGUGAGGUGCCUUGUACUACUGAAAUAUCACAUCAGUGUUGUAAAGCUGACCAGGCCCUAAUCUACACUUUU